GUCCUAGGAGGCUCCUCUG
rnacentral:miRNA from 1 species